rnacentral:misc_RNA from 1 species
GAAGAAGCAGCCAUGAUCAAGGGGGAAAAAAAGAUGUUUAUAAUAAAAAACGAAAGAAAAAGAAGUCUGACAAGCUAUAAGAGGCCGAUUAUUCCCAGGAUUAUAGACAAGAGAGUGGAGAUAAAAUAAAGAAUUUAUAAAAGGAGUGGAAGACAAAUGGUAAGAGGUGUCUGUGAUAUAAAUCAUAUGCGAGAAGAUAUUUGUAAACAUGAGCAAACCUAGGGUAGGCCCGCAGAUCCUCAUCCAUUAAUUACAAGUGGUACCCAUAUCUUACUUCUCAAGCCUCUCUCAUGUCAACAGUCCCUUGAAAGCACAGUCUCCAAUACUUACUUUACAUUUGGCUCUUGAGUCUAUCACUUAAGAUCGACAAAAUCUGCACAUUCAAUACUUUAUUGUAUGACAAAGAUAUGGUUAAUAGGCCUAUUAAUA